GAAAAUAUUAAAAUAUUCCAUGUAUUUCUCAGGCUGCUGGCAACCCACUUAACUGGGAUUAAGGCCACUUGAACUCAGUGAGAUUUCUUCUUGAGUAGGCAUAGCCAAAAUUGUGAUGUUAACAAUUUAUUACUAAUAUUAAUAAUAAUUAAUAAUGCCACAGCACCAUCAGUGUGCCUUGUGUUUUACACUGAGCAGCAUAAGCGAAAAGAGACAGCUCCCUGUGCCAAAGAACUUGCCGUCUAAAUUUCAGUGGAGACAAUAAAAGAAAUGGGAGGCAAAGAGAGAGCAGGCUGGAUAUAGUUUCACGUGUUUAGGUUCAUUUUUGUACUUGGGUAGGUGCUUUCAUCUACCAAUUGCUCCUUUCUUUCACAGCAUGUAGUUAUGAUCCGCACAGAUGUGGCAAUCAUAUUAAAUAUGUUCAAUUUUGACAACAUUUCUUUGAAGAAUUAAUUUAAGGCUGGUCCCCUUGUUAUAUCCAUCUUUGUUCUGAAUUUUUUGCAUGGAUAAGCUACUUUGAGUGGAAAACUAAUAUGCCCAAAAUGCAGGGAAGUGAAGAGGUUAAAGAUGGAGAAUGAGAAGGAAAUGAAAUAAGCCCAAUUCUCCUUCAUUUUUUUUUCUUCCUUUCAUGAAAGGCUUGUUAAGCUUCAUUACUCAUAAAAUAUUCAGCACAUUGUUUGAAGGAUAAAACAACAUGCAUGUCUCUACUCCCAGCCUUUCGGGAAGAGAAAUUCCUCCCGGAUAUGAUUUAUAUUCAUGGCGUAAGCUUUGGUAUGGUUGGUGAGUCAGUGAAAAUAAAGAUGAAGGAAGAAGGGGCUUGAAGAAAGAUGUUCCAUGUUGUAGUUCACAGCUUUCAUCGUAAGAUCUGAUUCCUUUCUGUACCUUGCUAACAAGAUUCUCUGGUGAGAGGAAUGCUAAUCUCCAUAGAUUGUUCACCCCGUGGGAAGAAAAACCCUAUAAGGUGUUUUAAAGGGCUUGUGAGAUGCAGCUUCUGUCAGUGUUUCUUAUAUAAAGGAAGGCAAGAGGGUCCUUAAGACAAUCUUACAUAUUGUGAGGAGGAAAAGCUAGCAUGGUGGUACUGAGGAGAAUUAUUGCCCCUUUGUUGUAAUGUAAACUACUGAACAAAUACAGCAUAUGUAAAUAGUUACAUAACUAUUAUUCAGCAGCAAAGCCGAGCGAUGAAACGUAAUAUUCUGUGCAGUCAUUGAUCCAACAUGGCCGACAACCUUAGCAGCUAUCCACAGCUUGGUUGCCCUUUUGCAACAGAUCAAGCUAUUACAGUGGUUCCUCAGGUUACAGACUCUGCUAACCCAGAAAUAGUGCUUCAGGUUAAGUACUUUGCUUCAGGAUGAGAACAGAAAUCAUGCUCUGGCAGCGUGGCAGCAGCAGGAGGCCCCAUUAGCUAAAGUGGUGCUUCAGGUAAAGUACAGUUUUAGGUUAAGUAUGGACCUCUGGAAUGAAUUAAGUACUUAACCUGAGGUACCACUGUACUGUUUUGAUAUUUUCUCAAUUAAUUUUGUCACUGUCUCCCCCCCCCCUUACUGGAAGAAGAAAAGGGGACAGGAAAGGACAGCUGCCACUAACCAAAUAACUUACCCUCCAACAUUUCUCCACUGAAAAUAGGGACGUCCUAAGGAAAAGCGUGACAUUCCAGGAUCAAUUCAGAAACUGGGAUGGCUUCUGUAAAUUGGGGACUGUUCCUGGAAAAUAGGGACACUUGGAGGAUCUGCAAUAAUUGUUUUGUCCAAACAAUCUCAAAGUACUGGAACAGCAUAUUAUGUUGGAAAUGGCCCUGAGUGAUCAGAGGCCACUAACUAGAACCUUCCUUAAAGGAGAGUUAUCUAAAGCAGUACUGUAUCUCCACAUAUUAACAUGAUAUGUAUAAAUAAUUGUAAUGAAAUCCAUAAUAGUCUUUAAUCCUGCCUUUACUGUUUAGGUAGCUUUAACAGUAGAGCAACCUGUUAUAUAUAUACCUUGUGGCAAUGUGAUGGAAAUAUCUAGGUUCUCAGACGGAGAGACACUGAUCAUCUUAAUCACAUGACAAGUUUAUUCCUCUGUACUGGUGGUUACUAGGAAUGUGAACUGCUUUAAGUGUCAACUCUUUAGGUUCUGCUUUACAAAGGUUAUUUUUUUCCCUUUUGCAAAUUUUGUGGUUCCCCCCAGGCUGCUGAUAUCUCCUUCUUUUUUGUCGGUGACGCCAUGUUGGCUACAUAAACAAUGUAAAGGUAAUGAUGUUAAACAUUUGACCAGUAGUAUGGUACAAGUUUUUUAAAACAGAAGAAUCUCAUGGUGAUAUUAAGAUUGACCAUUUCCAUUUGUUGACCUCAUAAUGACUGUGCACCGGUGACAAGACUUUUGAGAAACUUAUCUUCUAAGCCAAAAUAAAGUUGCUUAUCUUCUACCUUUGGAGGCCAGAUUUGCUAAGCUUUUUCUCUGUAAGUUAAAAGAUAGAGGCGAUAGUACAGAGACAUACCUUCCCAUGGGAUUUUGAAGUAUGUCUGAAAGCUAUCAAUUGCGGCAAAAUAUAAGAUACCCUUCUCUUUUCAUUGUCAAUAUCCGUGACAUUUCCUUUGCCUGAUGUGGAAUAAACACACAUCACUCCAUUCUUUCAUCCUGACUGGCUUUGGCUGCAUUUAUCAAACAAGACAGAAGUGGAAUAUAGAUGCAUGCGAAGAAAAGAUGGGUCAAAUCCUGUUCAUUAAACCAAAAGUCACCAAGUUGUAAGAGUACAGUAACAUUUGUCUUGGGCAGCACUUAGCCUCUUGGUAGUUCAUCUGUGAAGUUUCAACAAAUAACUCAUUAGAAUUAUAUAGGGGAGCAUAUUUCACUUAGUUUAGCCAGUCUAGUCUAUUUCAAUUCCAGAGAAAAUGUCACUUGGAGCUUCUGUUUAUUCGCAUUGGUGCCUAUGCAGGUUCCAAACAUUUACCUGCAAAUGCCCCAUAAAAGUCAUCUUUUCCCAACGAGUGACCUUAGAAUCAGCUGACAUUUCCAAAAGUGAGCCUCAUAGAAUAUAAUCAGGCUAGGAGGGAGUAAGAAUGGGGACAAAACUAGAAUGAGUUGGGUGUCUCUGUCACUCUCUGUAGCAACCUGCUGUUCUCCUGGCCUUCUGCCCUACCAGUCUCAACAGGCACCAGCCAAUAUUUGGGUUCUUAUAUUACCACUGUGGCCUAGUGGCCGCAGGGCACCAUUGUAACAAAAAGGGAAAGACCAGUAACAGCUUACAUGGUGGUUUUACCGAUAACAUUUGGCACCUGCUAUAGCCAUUCUAAAUGGUCAUAAAAAGAAGGGCAGACUAUAAUUCUUGUUAAAUAAAGGCACUCAUUAUUUCUGUUUGAAGCUCGGUAAAAACAUUCCACUGCCCCCUCUUUUUAAUGCAGAAUAAAAAAACUAAUUUUGCGUUAAAGAUCAGGGAAGAACUUGUCUUUCUUUUUUUUACUUACGAGUGGAAGAAUUAUGCUCCUCUCUACCUUAAUGGGAACAGUAAGUAAAAAUAAUUAUCCAUGCAUGCUUGCCAUCUCAUUAAAUAUUUGAUGUAAAAAUCCCUCCAAUAAAAACUCUAAAAUGGAUAUAUAUUUUUCUCCCACUGUUGAGCUUCAGAUGGUUUAUUAUUUCCAUUAGGCUUUGGGAAUUUGAUUGUUUAAUCAAGCGCCUUUACUCUUGUGUAUCUCUUUAGAUUCCAUUAAUGUAGUGAUACUUCUCACUCAGUUUGUACCACUUGUUGCUUUAAGUGUUGAUUAUUACACUUACCCCCUCUGUUUUCUUGCCUUCCGGUCUUGUUUUGCGUUCUUCUUUCAGCAGUUUGUAGGUGGCAAGCACUAUCUGAUAAGCUACUUUCAUAAAACACGCACACGGGGGAAACAUGACUGCAAAUAAAAUGGCAGCCUUGGCCGUCUUGCACCCAAACUUCACUCCUGCUGUUAAGUUGUGGGUGAACAUACCAGAUGACACAGCGAUUCUUCAAACAGCUCUUGUUUAUUCCGAGGCCAGAACAGAACUGAACUGAAGAGCUCAGUCAGCCUGCUUAUAUAGAGCUCCAGUACGUUACUGUAGCAACUUUCUAAAACUAUCCAAUCACUGAAUGUCACUUUCGAUCCUUCAUUUGCAUAACUAUCUACAGUAUCCCCCUGCUGGCCCAGGGUGAGAACUUCAGUACAUAACACCUGCGGUCUGGAAGCUCCCCUGAGCACGGUUCCACUCAGGGGGAUGCUCAACACGGGUAUAUGUGGAGGAGGAGGCUGUUUCUGAUUCAACCUUCUCCCUGAAGCCUCUUUUACCUUCCAGAAGUUCCUUCCUAUUUUUCAAGAUUAGGAGACCCUUUGGAAAUGGCACUUAGCACUGUAGCAGGGGUGGGAUUUAACAGUAGGACUUGGCUUCUGAGUAGACAUGUAUGGUAUUGCACUGCAAAUCUCCUUGGAACAUCCUGAUGACUCAGACAUUAAAUUGAAUAUUUUAAGUCCAUCUGAGGUUUUAAUUAUAUCUCCCCUGUUAAUAAGAGGUGGAAUGGAAGACCUAAAUAUUAUAGGCCUUAGGCCUUCAUUAGCUCUUGGUUUAGUAUUUUCUUUGAAUCUGCUUAUAUUUCCAACUCGCUAAUUUGGGGCCUUGAUUUCUAUUAUUUGUAGCUACAUCAGUAACUAUUUGAAACAACGGUUUUCCACUAUAUGGGGGGAAUGCUGCUAAAAAUCAAGUAAUAAUACUGCCUCAACAUAAAUGCUGGUGGUGCCUACUUUUUCUUCCAAGAAAAUUAGCAAUAGAAAUACCUUUUGUUGCUGUAACAAAUUGAAUAUCAUUCAUUCUCUGCCACCCACUCAUCACCUUAUUUUAAAUUACUGAGAGAUGGAAAUUAUAUUAUGAUUUGCCAUGCUUUCUGGCCUAGAUCCACAGCUAGUGAAUCAUUCUUCAUUUAGCAAAUACUGCUAUUGCCUCUUUCAUAGGAUGGAUUUAGCUGUACUUUUCACAUAGAACUGCAGGGCGCAUAUGCUCAGCAAGCAGCAGGUCCCAUUUUCAAUUUUUAGCAUCUCCAGGUAGGCCUGGAAAAGACUCUUGGUCUGAAACACCUGGAAAGCUGCAACCAAUCAGUGUAGAUGUCAUGGACUGGUUGGAUGCAAAAUAUCCAACUGGGGAACCACCAAAGGAAGAAGGCUCAGAGCCUGAGAAGUGGUGGUUGGCAGAGAGAGGAGACUGGGAAGAGGAUGUGUCAGAAGUUGAAGAGCUAGGAGAGUCUGUGGCAGAGAGAAGUCUAGAAUCAGAGGCAGAAGCUGAAGCAGGUGAAUGGGAAGAGGCCAAGAGGAAUAGAUGAGUCAGACUGGUGAAGAAUCACUGGUGUCUCCCCCUCCUUCAGUCAAGACUAACUAGAAUUGAAAAACAUGUCAAUAGCCCAAACAGAAAAGUUAUACUUCCCAUUAACAACUUCCUGAACCUCUUCUAUCAUUGUGUUACAUGCAACAACUUUACUCCAGAAUUCUAAAUUCAUAUAUGCAUAACUUGCCCUUUGUUCUAGGGUUUUUCAUUUUCUCUGUUUCAUUAUUUUUUGCAAUUUGAGAUUGUGGGCAGUAUAGCACAGUGGCCCUCAGGCCCUAGCCACCUUUAGUCUGGGUUCAGACAUAAGGGGAAGCCACUGUUUGAGUUAUUUGUGUGAAACCCAGGCUUCUAUGUUCCUCUCUUCCCUUCUUUCAUGCACCAGAAGAAAAGUUCAGAGGUUUCUGCUUUUCAUUUUGGACUUGCAACAGUUCCCCGUGAUGUUCAGACUCUGAGAAUUGCAGUCCAACAACUUCUGGAGGGCCACAGGUUCCUGAGCCCUGGUUGAAGCGAACCGGUAUUCUGAGCACACACAACCUGGAGAAACUGCGGUUAGUUUAAAAGUGAAGUGGAAACAAUCAUCUUGUGGGUUGUGAAAACAAGGGGAGGAGGUGGAGGGGGUGGUGAGCCCAGGGCUCACUGUGGUUUAACUAAUAGGAAACUAAUAGUUGCCUGACACGAACAAAAAUAAAAGAAAAAGUCCCUGUAGCAUGUUUUGAUUGGGAAUCAGUAAAAAUAUUCUCAUGUCACAAAGUAACAGAGAGACUGAACAUGGGAGUUAUUUUUCUUUUCCUCCUCAGUCACUUAGUUAACCAUGCUCUUGAUUUUUUCAAUGCAGAUCAAUAAGAUGUUUGCUUGAACCCUGCUGCUAUGUUUUACUUGUAAACAUACAGGGUUUGUGUUUUGUUUUUGAAUGGCAAGACUGUGGGAUAUUUCCCUGCUCAUACAGAUCCCUUUAGCUUGACAAAAAAAGAGCCUGAUUGGAGAAACAGUGUGUUAUCGACAAAGAGAAGCUGGGAAAGUGAUUUGUGAAAGUGUGUGAGCAGAACACAGAAAUCUCCUGUCAUUUCUGAUUAUAUAAAACGCAUGUGUUCUGAGAGUGGGCUGUUAAUCUACAAAUCAUUCUUUCUCUGGAACAGUAGAAGAGGAGUCAUAUGCAAGCCAGGAGUAUUUUACCAGUUACAGAUUUUUUUAGACAGGAGAUCAAUAAGAGUGAGUAGCUUGAAAAUAACAAUAAACACCUGCCUCUGCGGAGAGGUUGAGACUUUGUCUUCUUGCUGAGGGAUGUGGUGUCUGUUUCAGCUUGUUGCAAAGGUCAGUAGACAAAUGUAAAAAAGAGUG
rnacentral:lncRNA from 1 species